CACGUAGUUAGCCGUGGCUUCCUCCUCUGGUACCGUCAUUAUCGUCCCAGAAGACAGAGCUUUACAACCCGAAGGCCUUCAUCACUCACGCGGCGUUGCUGCAUCAGGCUUUCGCCCAUUGUGCAAUAUUCCCCACUGCUGCCUCCCGUAGGAGUCUGGACCGUGUCUCAGUUCCAAUGUGGCCGGUCACCCUCUCAGGCCGGCUACGCAUCGUUGCCUUGGGUGGCCGUUACCUCACCAACCAGCUAAUGCGCCGCGGGUCCAUCUUGUAGCGGAUUGCUCCUUUGGUCACGCUAACAUGCGUCAGCAUGACAUUAUGCGGUAUUAAUCCUUCCUUUCGGAGGCUACUCCCCCUCUACAAGGCAGGUUACCCACGUGUUACUCACCCGUCCGCCGCUAGGGACUAAAACGUCCCCGCUCGACUUGCAUGUGUUAGGCACGCCGCCAGCGUCUC
rnacentral:rRNA from 1 species